AUGAAGAGCUCCACUGUUUACAGUCGGUUGAAGGAAAAGAAGAUCAAGCGUCACUCAAAUGACCUUAAGCCUGACUUAACAGAUGACAAUAAGAAGGCACGUGUUCGGUACUGCCUGUCCCAGCUGGUGCCCGGGAGCUAUCCGAAAAAUCCUGUGUUCAAGGCAGGAUAUGAUCAAGUUCAUAUAGAUGAAAAGUGGUUCUACCGCACGAAGAAAAGCCAGAAAUUUUACUUGGGCCCCACAGAACCAAAUCCGAAGAGAAGCGUGGGGAACAAGAACUACAUAGAGAAAGUGAUGUUCUUGUGUGCCGUUGCGAGACCGAGGUUUGAUGCUGAUGGAAAUUGCACUUUUGAUGGCAAGAUCGGUGCGUGGGCAUUUGUUGAGAAGAAGGCUGCCUUGAAGAAGAGCAAGAAAAGAAAACAUGGGGCUUUGGAGCUCAAGCCCAUUCCGGUUGUGAACAAGGAAGUUAGUCGCACGUUCCUCAUCACGAGAGUAAUUCCUGCGAUAAAGGCAAAGUGGCCUGCUGAGGACGGCCAUCAAACUAUUUACAUCCAGCAAGACAAUGCCAAAACUCAUGUUUUGGUGAAUUACAAGGAAGUUUUAGAGGCGGCACAGGCCGGUGGUUGGGACAUUAGGAUCGUAUGUCAGCCACCAAACUCUCCAGAUGAAAACAUUUUAGAUCUUGGCUACUUUGCUUCUAUCCAGUCUAUGUUUCACAAAAAGAUGCCAAAAAAUAUCUAG
rnacentral:rRNA from 1 species